rnacentral:lncRNA from 7 species
UUUCCAUAUGCAUUUAUGCCUACCAACAUAAUAUUCAUAAAAUGUGAUUUAUGCAAUGCUCGAAAAGGACAACUGACCUGACUUUUCCUUGUCAUCAACGAUAGCAAAUUCCUCAUUUCUUGAAGUCGUAUGACGCACCAGGAAGCAGCCCAGACGCGGGUGGGGAAAUGGAGCAGCUGUGACGACGUGCUGGGAGCCGCCUCAUAGAUACGGCGGCGGGACGACAGAGCGAUGGCGCAUUAGAAUGCGGGGCGGGAUUGGGAAAUAGAAUGCGACAGCGGGGGUGAGGGGGGAAUGCGAGCACCUGGUAUUCUGGAGGCGUGCGGGGGCGGCUCGACAACGAAUCGCAGCGGCGCUGCACGGGCAAAUGCUCCGGUUGACCGCGAGGGGAGUGUGUAGCGGCGUCGAUUAGGGUUGAGAUAAUGGUAUUAUGGAGGCGUGCGGGGGCGGAGGGACGACGAAUCACGAUGGCGCUGCACGAUGAUAUGCUUCGGGUUGACCACGAGGGAAGUGAGUAGCAACGGGGGGUUAGGGUAGAGAGAACGAUAGGCGAUAUGGACGAUGAGGUCUCAAGGAAUAUG